rnacentral:misc_RNA from 1 species
AAGUCGUAACAAGGUUUCCGUAGGUGAACCUGCGGAAGGAUCAUUAACAAAUUCAAAACACUGACGUCCCACGCAUGGUCUUUUGGCCGUGCGUGGUGUCUAACAUACACACCUUGAUUGACAACACCUAGUGAUAUCUAGUUAAAUUGUAGACAACUUUUAACAAUGGAUCUCUUGGCUCUU